UUUGGUUGAUGAGUGAUCAUCUUUGUAUCUCAUCUUCCAUAAAACAAAAAUUGGUCCAAUCAAGAAGUAGACUAGCAUCCAUACUUCUUGAUUGCCUUCUCUUCAUCUCUAGGAUCAUUUGGUGUGGUGAGGUAGAAGACUCCAAUCUUAGAGCCUUAAGGUGAAGGAGUCAAAAUCAAGAUAAACAAAAGGCUUUUCCAACAAAGGUGUUCAUUCUUGAGAAAUCAAGAAAAGGUCAUCAAGGGUAAAAAUCUAUUCCCUUUUUCUUUUUUCUAUUUGUGUUCAAAGAGACUAGGCUAAGAUACUUGGUUUAAAAUGAAAAAGGUUUACCUCAACUAGUAUAAACAAAAUGAAUCCGCCAUUUAGAAUUUUUUUGUUGUAUAGGUUGUGGGUAAAGUUCAUUUCCUAAGCAGUAGAUGCAUAUUUCCUUCAAUCAUCAGAGGCAUAUUGUGGAUGGUGAGUGGUCUCUGUCUCCAUGGUUUGAUUACACAUGGGCUAAGAAUCUUAGGUUUGAAAAGAUUUCGUUUUGUUAUUCUUCGGGUUGAAAAUUUACCUCAUUGACCCUAUAAUAAUUUUGUUUUUGGAGUUGUAUUCCUCUUUUGUUUGUAAUCCGACUAUGGAAUGCGGAUAUUAUUGCAAUGCAUUGUUUUUGGAGUUUUUUUUUUUUUUUUUGGGAGUUGUAUUAUUGCAAUCCGAUUAUGGAAUGUGGAUAAUAUGGAAACUGAAAAUUUUUCAAUGAACUGCUUAAUUGAUUAUAGUCUUCAAUUUGGGCUUCAAUUUCUUCAGAUUUUAGAGAUCUCUCUUUAGGUUUAUUUGGCUUGACUGGAAAGUUGGUAUUUGAUAGAUUCUUGGUGAAAGUAAUGUAUAUAGUUUUUCCUAAUCUUAUAUCUCUUUUUGUUUAAUUUCAGUAUGCGAGAAGUGGGAAAAAGAAGGAAUUUUACACCCAAACGCAAUUGGACUAGGUUCGAGAUGAAUGGUCAUGUCAUGUGCUAGACUGGAUUUGAGUUUGAACAUUCUCCUUGUUGUUUUGGUAGUAUUUUGCUUAUAUAUGUAUGGAUGAUGGAUGGAUUUUGGUUUAAUGGCAGGGGAACUCAUAAGUUUACCUAUAUAAGUAUGUUUUUUGAUGUUGCAAUAGGAAUAUAUAUGAAAUGGAUGUGAUGCCUAUAUAUUUUGAGACAGAAACCAAGUAAAAUGUGAUGUGAAACAUGGA
rnacentral:lncRNA from 1 species